CGUGGAUCUACCAUGGCCCUUCCUCCACCAAUUUGGGAUGAUAAUUUACCAAAGGAAGGUAACAUUGUGCCUCCGGCUCCUUUUACAGGGCUCGGAAACAAUCUUUGUAGUAGCUUUUCAAGCUAUCCGCCAACUUAUAGGAUACAUGACCCACUACUUUAUCGUCCUGCUGUGAAUCAGUGUCCUCCCAACUCUCAAUAUUAUCAAAACAUUGGAAUAAACAAAGUACCUGGCUCCACGCCUACUUCUAUUAGACCAAAUUUUUUUACACCACAUAACAAUUAUCCUUUUCACUAUAGCCCACCAUCUUUUCAGUACUACUACAGCAAUUUUCAGCAACCCUAUAAUUUAAAUUUUAAUCAUAAUUUUGUUCCAGAUAAUAGUUUGUCGCAACGAAGUCAGGGGAAAACCGGCCAAUCUUUUAAGAAAUUUUCUCAGUCUAGAGUGGACACAAAUAAUUCUAAGAACUUUAAAACUUCUAUAAGAAAAGAUUAUACAUCCUAUUCCAGUCGUCGUAAAGCCCUUUCCUCUACAAAAUUUAGGGUUGAGGAUACCGAGGAUGUAGAGAAGUGGAUUGCCGAGCGUAAGCGUAACUAUCCCACUAAAGAAAACAUUGAGAAAAAGAAUUUGAAAAUUUCUGAGCAAGUUGGAGUAUCCUCAGAACCCCAUAAAACAACCUCAACUAAAUUUAUAAAAAAAAGAAAGUUUAAAAAGGAAACGAAAAACAAAAAUGCAACUACUCCUCUUCUGCCUAAACUUUUAGAAAAAGAUAUUCGCAAAGAGCACAGUCUAUUAAUCCAAUGCAUUCGAUUUCUUUCUGAAACUAAU